GUGAAUCAUCGAAUCUUUGAACGCAUAUUGCGCUCGAGACCUCGGUCAAGAGCAUGUCUGGCUCAGCGUCGGCUCACCCCCUCGCCACCCUCUCCCCUGUGGAGAUGGGCAGGCGGAUCUGGCCGUGUCUGUACUCCUUGAGAGAACAGGCUCGGCUGAAGAACAGAGGCUUGAGCAUGGUCCCGCUGAUAGGGCGCCAGCUUGGUAGGUAGCUUACGCUGCAUGCCGCUGACUCCCCUAGGGACCUGUGCUGUAAAGCCGGCAGGAAUCGGAGCGCAAGCUCCGAACUCUUACUUUCGA
rnacentral:misc_RNA from 1 species